UCCGUAGGCGGGCAGCUAAGUCAGUGGUGAAAGUCUGCAGCUCAACUGUAGAAUUGCCAUUGAUACUGGUUGUCUUGAAUUAUUAUGAAGUGGUUAGAAUAUGUAGUGUAGCGGUGAAAUGCAUAGAUAUUACAUAGAAUACCAAUUGCGAAGGCAGAUCACUAAUAAUAUAUUGACGCCGAUGGACGAAAGCGUGGGGAGCGAACAGGAUUAGAUACCCUGGUAGUCC
rnacentral:rRNA from 1 species